GAGGGAGCUGCAGAACUUCCCUUCCUCGCGGACUCUAAGGCCCCCGGGGCCCCAACUCUCCAGAGAUGCUGGCGUGGGGAGAGGGUGCAGAGCCCUUCCAGAAGAGGGCCCAGACGACAGGAGUCCAGUCUCUACCAACCCUGCACCUCCCUGCGACGCCGGAAGUAACGCCAGAUCUCCUGCCCCGGGUUCAGAGGGUGCUGAGAUGAGAGCCCGACAGAAACCGGGGACGCCGGGAGUGAGGGAAGGUUGCCCCUGCCACAGUCUGGGCAGUGGAUGGUCUUGGAGCUCCCAGUGAUGUGGUGAUGAGUCCAUGGCACCCCAGUCUUCCUUUUCUUGGCCUUCCAGACCCAAGCAGGCUACUUCACUCACUCCAGCUGUCAGGCUGGCUGCAGGAAGAGUCUGAGUUUGUGAGAUGUCCUUCAGAAACUGUCUUCUAUUUAAAGAACAACAACAAAAAAAGGCAGAGUGGACAGUGAGAGAGAGAGAGACAAGAGAGAGAGAAAGGUCUUCCUUUUCUGUUGGUUCACCCCGCAAUGGACACUGCGGCUGGCGCACCAUGCUGAUCCGAAGCCAGGAGCCAGGUGCUUUCCCCUGGUCUCCCAUGUGGGUGCAGGGCCCAAGCACUUGGACCAUCCUCCACUGCACUCCCGGGCCACAGCAGAGAGCUGGACUGGAAGAGGAGCAUCCAAGGCAGAAUCCGGCACCCCGACCAAGACUAGAACCCGGGGUGCCAGGGCCACAGGCAGAGGAUUAGUCUAUUGAGCUGCAGUGCCGGCCUCUGGCUUUUUCUAAAGGCAGAAGGUGUGCAGUCCUGAGUCUUGCCCUUUAUUAUCUGUGCCAAGUAAGUUACUUGACUUCCUUCAGCCUCACUAUUUCCAUCAGUAAAAUGGGAUUAACAGUCCCAUUUUAGCUUAUAGGACUGACUUGCAAAUCAUGUGAGACAAAACAGGUGAAAAGACUUUUUGUCACUGACCAUGUUGUGUAAUAGUAGCUACGAUUAUGAUUAAUGCUCUUUCUUGAUGGUUCCAAGCUUUGUCCCCUCCUUUCACUCACACAUUGGCAGCAGCUUUGGAUUCUGCAAGAUCUUCUCAUAAAAAGACUGAGGUCAAUCUGAAUACAUAUUCCAGGAUUCGAAUAAAUCACUAAGGAAAAUGCAAGGAAGCAGGAAGCCUGCCAAUGACUCAGGACAGUCCAUGUUUUAUAAAAAUUUGUUUCAACUGUAAAAGUCAUCCUCUUCAUGGCAUGAAGCCUGAGAAACCAAGAAGAAAAAGACGCCCUGGAGCAGGGGCUAUGUCUCAGUUGCCUGCAUCUACAGAGCCUAACAAGUGUCAGCCCUUCGAGGAGCUCUGUAGAUGUUCACGAGGAGUGCAUUUUUUGGAGACCCACAAGAAUUCAUUGCACAAGAAUCUCCACUGCUGUGCUGCUCCCAGAGAUCAGGGCAUUGCCCACUGGUCAGAAACACUGGGCGCUCUGCAGAAUACUCCAGUGGGUGCAGUGAGGUCAUUGAAAAUUGUCUGUGGAACACCGAUGUACAGCAUCACUCACUGAAAACUGUCAAACACUGAUGUCCAGCAUUACAACACUCAGAAGGCAGAAAUAACAGCUACCAUGCACCAGUAGAAGGAUGGAUGAACAAAAUGGGGUACGUCCACGUAAUGGGAUAUAAUCCAUCCUUUAAGAAGAAGGAAAUUGUGACACACACCUCAACAUGGAUAACCUUAAAGACAUUGUAUUAGAUGAAAUAAUUCAGCCAUAAGAAGACAGAUACAGUAAAUCCCUCUUUAUCCACAGGAAAUAGGGGCCAAGACUCCCAGAGGAUGCCUGAAACCUCAUAUAGUAUGUAAUCCUAUGUAUACUAUGUUUAUUCCUAUACAUACAUAGCAAUGAUAAAGCCUAAUUAAUGUAAGUUACAGGAAGAUAUUGACAGCAAACACCAAUAAUAAAAGAUCAAUUAUAACAAUAUAAUAAGAGUUACUUAAAACAUGAAUUUCUUAUUUCUGGAAUUUUCCCUUUAAUAAUGUGUAAUCAUAGAUAACUGAAACCCAUAAAGACUGCAGAUAAGGAGGGACUACUGUACUGUAUAAUUCCACUUACAUGACAUAACUAGAGUAGAAUUCAUAGAUACAGAAAGUAGAAUGGUGGCACCAAUGGAAGAAGAUGGGAUGAAGAGUUAUUAUGUAAAAGAUAAAGGUGUGGUUUGUGAUGAUGACAAAUUCUAGAGCUGGAUGAUAUGAAUAGUUAGAAAUGUACUCAGGCUGGAAGCACCUGCUAAGAGGAAGAUCUGGGUCUUGGCUUAGGAUAAGCACACAGACAAAGACGUAGGGGCUUCAGUGGGGGGUAUCUGUGGCUGUGGACUUGCUUUUGUCCUGCUUCCCACCUAAGGGCAAAGUGAUUCCUUUAAUAACAAAUGUCUCCUGAGUUUCCUGUGCUGGCACUGGGGGUACAGCAUUGAGCAAGAUACAUACCUUAGAGUCACAUGGGGGAAACUGACGUGAAACCAUCCCAUCGAUAGAGGUUACAAUGUGAUUCAUGUUGAAAAGGUCAGGUGAGGAAAUGACACAGGAGCUGAGAGUAAAAGUGAGUGAGAGUUAAUGAUGCUGUCAGGGUGGAGGUGAGAAGGGAGAGCAUCCAGCGUCCCAGGCAGAGGGAACAGCAGGUCUCCAGGACCUGAACACAAAGGCCAGAGCAGUGAGGCUGAGAGAACAGAAGGAACAAGGUAAUUCUGGGGAGGUGGGCAAGGGACAGACGUCAAAGCCUGGGGCCAUGUGCAAACCUUGGUCCUUCUUCUCAGAGCCAAGACAAAUCAUUAGUGUGGUUUCAUUAGAGAUGUGGGGAUACCAGCGAGAAGAUUACUCCAGGAGUCUGAGUGAGGGAUGAUGGAGAGAUCAGGGAAGUGGAAUGAAGAGACAGGGCAGACUCAACUGGGACUGAAAGCUAAAAGACAGGAUGUUCUCAGAUGGAUUGGGAACGUAGCAUGAUAGACAAGGAGGGCUCAUGAGCAACCCUGAGCUUUCUGCUUUGUGAAGCCAGAGGGGGCUGCCUUUCACCUCAUUGAAUACAAUACCACUGUCAUCACACCACACAACUCCAAGGGGCUCCAUCCAUUUGCCAUCAGUGAGGAUGGUACCCGUGGAAUUGUGGAAAAACAAUAGCCUAUGUAGCACCAGCAGCAGCCCUCGGGCAAGAAGUGUCCCCCUUGCCUGGAGCCCAACUUCUUUCAGUUGGACAUUUUGUUCAUGUUGUACCUGAGGGCUAUGUUCAGUGACCAACAUGCCUGAAGCCCAGUGGAAUCUAAUGUCUUGUGGUGAAUUGUUGAUGUUAAAUUCCCCUGAACAUGUGUCACAAACCCAGACCUUCAGCAGGAUCCUGGGUUAAAGUAAAGUAGGAACACAAAAGCCUUUGUAUGAGCAUGACAUGUGUUAGGGAAAUGUCCCAGGAUUUUUUUGUUCUUUCCCACUCACCACUGUCAUCAAUGCUCAUGUAGCCCAGCACAUAUGGUCUUCCAGUCAUGUGAUCCACUGAUGGGAAAGCCUUGGAUGCAGUUACUGCAGGGCUCCAGUGCCAGGAAGCCAUGUCUCAUUAGAGUCUGCCCAGAGACCCGAGACUGACUCAUCCUUUGUGACUUAAGAGGGCAGGGGCAAGAGAAAUAAAGAUCUCUCCAGGUCUGUGCUAGGAACCCUAAGGCAUCCUAGAUUAUGCUGAGGCUCCUAAAGAAUGACAACUCCGGCCGGCGCCACGGCUCACUUGGCUAAUCCUCUGCCUACGGUGCCAGCACCCCGGCUUCUAGUCCUGGUUAGGGCAUCGGUUCUGUCCCAGUUGCUCCUCUUCCACUCCAGCUCUCUGCUGUGGCCCGGGAAGGCAGUGGAGGAUGGCCCAAGUGCUUGGCCCCUGCACCCACACGGGAGACCAGGAGGAAGCACCUGGCUCCUGGCUUCAGAUCGGCGUGGCUAGCCGGCCACAGUGCGCCGGCGGUAGCAGCCAUUUGGGGGGUGGACCAACAGAAAAGGAAGACCUUUCUCUCUCUCUCU